CGCACAGGAUGCACCGUAGUUUACUACACCGUAUUCUGUGAGUUGCGAACGGGUGAGUAACGCGUAGGUAACCUGCCUGGUAGCGGGGGAUAACUAUUGGAAACGAUAGCUAAUACCGCAUAAGAACAUUUACUGCAUGGUAGAUGUUUAAAAGGUGCAAAUGCAUCACUACCAGAUGGACCUGCGUUGUAUUAGCUAGUAGGUGAGGUAACGGCUCACCUAGGCGACGAUACAUAGCCGACCUGAGAGGGUGAUCGGCCACACUGGGACUGAGACACGGCCCAGACUCCUACGGGAGGCAGCAGUAGGGAAUCUUCGGCAAUGGGGGGAACCCUGACCGAGCAACGCCGCGUGAGUGAAGAAGGUUUUCGGAUCGUAAAGCUCUGUUGUUAAGGAAGAACGAGUGUGAGAAUGGAAAGUUCAUACUGUGACGGUACUUAACCAGAAAGGGACGGCUAACUACGUGCCAGCAGCCGCGGUAAUACGUAGGUCCCGAGCGUUGUCCGGAUUUAUUGGGCGUAAAGCGAGCGCAGGCGGUUAGAUAAGUCUGAAGUUAAAGGCAGUGGCUCAACCAUUGUAGGCUU
rnacentral:rRNA from 1 species